GGGCCCAUAGCUCAGUUGGUUAGAGCAGAGGACUCAUAAUCCUUUGGUCCACGGUUCGAGUCCGUGUGGGCCCA
rfam:Pseudomonas syringae pv. spinaceae strain ICMP16929 PspICMP16929_Contig_957, whole genome shotgun sequence.